AAACGGCUGGAUCACACAUGUAAUGUCGAGCCGUAUCGCCACCGGUCGUCGGUCUUUAAAGGGUCCCUGACCAGUCACCCCGCCUUACCUUGGGUCUUUUGUUAUUAUUGAAGUACAUACAGACCCCAUGAACCACGCGAGGUGCCAUGAGUCAACGGUGAAGAAAACAAUUAAAACCACGGCCCUGAAAAUUGGUUCCGGUUUUCCCCCUCAACUCGGCAGAUCUCUAGCCUGCUGCAAGUGUUCUUCCAUGCAGGCUUCCAUAGUGUGACGUCGAGACGUACUUGACUGCACUCUCGUCACAGCGAACCCAACGCAGGGAAACUUACUCUCGCACCCAUUCGUGUUUGUUGUGUUUGUUACUCUGACAAAACGGCUGCCGAAGGGAGCGAUCUUUUCGACAACCUAUCUUCGAAGGAAAGGCAAAUUUUGUUACGGGCGGCGGAAUUUGGAAGCCUCGCCUUCGAAACGUCGCCGGCUCCGCGAGCUCAACGGGACGAGCAUGUUGACGCGGCAGCGUGCGGGAGCAGCAGCCGCCUGAAUUCCACAGACUGGUGCCGUUGUGGGUCAUGCGUCGCCAUGCCCACUAAAGAAGAGUGCCUCUGCUGUAAGGAGCUCCAGGGCACCGCUGAGCCACUGAGCUUCUCGUGUAUCACGGAGCACGAAGAUUUCAAAUUAUUAUGCCUCAACGAAACCGUGCUUAAGGUGGCGUACUUUGAACUUCGGGGCCAGCGGGAACCGAUGAGCGCACAUAUUCACAAUACACAGCGUACCGCCAGUUCGUGAGGUGGGUGUGGCACAAGCUUGGAAAAAACAAGUGCAUGGUGAUUCCAGCUUGUGCUGUGAACACCAUUCGCGAAGCCUUUCCAUCAGAGUCAAGGACAGGCUUCAGAUAUGCAAGGUACUAAGCAAGGUGUCACGCUACUAAUUCCUGACAGUAUGCUCCCAACCAUGCACUAAAACUGGAGCGAGACCACCAAGCGAUGACACUGGAUGAUGGACUGCUACAAGUGUGCUGCAGUCAUGGCAAGAACUGUUUGCAGUGUGCUCGUAAAGCAGUGUUGGGGAUUGGACUGGUACAAAUUGGACUCAAAUCUCAACAGGAAUGAAGGUAGAGCAAAAUGAAAUCGGGGCUGGAUUUAAAAUUGUAAUGACAAUUAUUUUAGCUACUAGCAAUUCGGAGGCGAGUACGGAUUGCUUACGCUGGAAGGGACGUAAAGCCGUAUGUGAGAUUUCACGCGCGUUAAAGAACCCUGAGGUGGGCAGA